UACGUAGGCAGCAAGCGUUGUUCGGAGUUACUGGGCGUAAAGGGUGCGUAGGCGGCUUUUUAAGUUUGGUGUGAAAUCUCCCGGCUCAACUGGGAGGGUGCGCCGGAAACUGGAGUGCUCGAACGUGGGAGAGGAAAGCGGAAUUCCUGGUGUAGCGGUGAAAUGCGUAGAUAUCAGGAGGAACACCUGCGGUGUAGACGGCUUUCUGGACCAUUGUUGACGCUGAGACACGAAAGCGUGGGUAGCAAACAGG
rnacentral:rRNA from 1 species